UACGGAGGAUGCGAGCUUUAUCCGGAUUUAUUGGGUUUAAAGGGUGCGUAGGCGGGCUUUUAAGUCAGCGGUAAAAAUUCGGGGCUCAACCCCGUCCGGCCGUUGAAACUGGGGGCCUUGAGUGGGCGAGAAGAAGGCGGAAUGCGUGGUGUAGCGGUGAAAUGCAUAGAUAUCACGCAGAACCCCGAUUGCGAAGGCAGCCUUCCGGCGCCCUACUGACGCUGAGGCACGAAAGUGCGGGGAUCGAACAGG
rnacentral:rRNA from 1 species